GAUGAACGCUGGCGGCGUGCCUAAUACAUGCAAGUCGAGCGAACAGAUGAUGAGCUUUCUCCUCUGACGUUAGCGGCGGACGGGUGAGUAACACGUGCAUCACCUACUUCUAAUACUUGGAUAACUUCGUGAAACCGGAUCCAAUACCGGCUAAUAUAUUCAACCGCAUGGUUCAAUAGUUCUAGACGGUUUUGCUGUCACUUAUAGAUGGAUCCGCGCCGCAUUAGUUAGUUGGUAAGGUAACGGCUUACCAAGGCAACGAUGCUUAGCCGACCUGAUAGGGUGAUCGGCCACAAUGGAACUGAGAAACGGUCCAGAAACCUAAGGGGAGCAACAGUAGGGAAUCAUUGGCAAUGGGCGGAAGCCUGAAGGAACCAAGCCGCGGGAGGGAUAGAGGGCUUCGGAUCGUAAAACACUGUUAUUAGGGAAGAAAAAAUAUGAAAGUAACAAUGCACGGAUUGACGGUAACAAAUAAGAUAGCCACGGCUAAAUACGUG
rnacentral:rRNA from 1 species